rnacentral:rRNA from 1 species
UUCCAUGUGAACAGCAGUUGAACAUGGGUCAGUCGGCCCUAAGGAAUAGGGGAAACCCGUUCCGAAGCGGGGUGUCGUGCAGCAGAACCACGACCCCGGUAGACCGAAAGGGAAUCGGGUUAAUAUUCCCGAACCCGGAUGCGGAGAUCGGACCCUUCGGGGUCCAAUGCGGUAACGCAAACGAACUCGGAGACGUCGGCGGGAGCCCCGGGAAGAGUUGUCUUUUCUUUGUAAGGGACGGACUCCCUGGAAUCGGCUCGCCCGGAGAGAGGGAUGUUGUUCCCGUAAAGCACCGCGGCUCUUGCGGUGUCCGGAGCGCUCCCGCCGGCCCUUGAAAAUCCGAGGGAGAGAAUUUGAUUUUCGCACCGGACCGUACCCAUAUCCGCAGCAGGUCUCCAAGGUGAACAGCCUCUAGUCGAUAGAACA